CUUUUCAAAUCGACACGUAACUGUCCAAUGGCAUAUAAAGUAUAUGAAAUAAAGUACCUCUCAUAGACCCUUUUAGUACCGACGGCAUGAUGACGUCACGGCGCCAGCUGGAGGCGGCCAAUACAAACCAGCACAGGGACAAAAUUCAAACCUGCACAGAGUCGAUUCACAAGGAACACGAACAUCAUCUUGUGAUGGAGUACAGGAUCUCAUUUUAAAUGUUAUCUCAUACCUGCUGCCAGAAGAACAAAAACCAUGUGCUUAAACACAAGGAAACAAGCGGACUGGACUGAAACGAUCAUCAAAAGAGCACAAUUCAUAUCAGCUGUCAUAAGUGCAAUUGUACAAACAGAAAGGAAACAGUGAACAGACCCAUGUUAUGUGUCAGGUCUGUGUACAAGUAUGUGCAUGUGCUAACGUUUGCCAUGUUAGUAGGCAACCUGAAGAGCAGCUCGUGAUGUACGUAGUGAGGUACUUUUCUCCUGCACCUAAGCCCCGCCCACAAAACCACCUCAAGGUUUAAUAAGUGAAAAAGGGAAUAUUGAGCAAACAUCGCAUUCAGAUUUAUUCUUUUUAUUGGAAAUUGUAAAUGAAGUUGUAUUAUGUUCUCUAUUUCCACAACAAUUUGGAUGCCUCCCUUCCCAUGUCAAGUCAUUAUGUAACCUCUUAGCUUCCAUUAAAUAUCAUUUCCAAUGUUUGGAUAUA